GUAUUCCCCCUCUUGCAUUGAUGCAUUUGGUUUCUUUUUCCUAGGUGGAAGACUUGGCACUUGUCCCUAUUGAUCUCAUUUUGUUGUUUUCAGCCCAGUGUUCAAGUUUAACAAGAUUGCCCUAGGUCUUCAUUCUGUCUUGAUGGUGUUUGCUGUGUAUCAUCA